rnacentral:rRNA from 1 species
UACGUAGGGUGCAAGCGUUGUCCGGAAUUAUUGGGCGUAAAGAGCUCGUAGGCGGUCUGUCGCGUCUGCUGUGAAAACUCGGGGCUUAACCCCGGGCCUGCAGUGGGUACGGGCAGACUAGAGUGCGGUAGGGGAGACUGGAAUUCCUGGUGUAGCGGUGAAAUGCGCAGAUAUCGGGAGGAACACCGGUGGCGAAGGCGGGUCUCUGGGCCGUAACUGACGCUGAGGAGCGAAAGCAUGGGGAGCGAACAGG